AUGAAGAUGCUCUGUGUUCUGCUUCUGCUAUUACUGAUAGAAAAGGAGACGUUUGCACAGUCAAUAACACCGCUGGAAAACACGACACUUAAAAGUGAAGGAGAAACCGUCUCUCUGUCCUGUAAAUAUGAAGGAGUUGUGAAUAACCUGCACUGGUAUCGUCAGUAUCCUGGAUCCAGACCAGAGUUCCUUGCAUACAUUUAUGAGCAUGGAGACAAAAGUAAACCUCUUCCUCCUCGACUUUUACCUAAAGUUGAUAAAAACAGCAAACGUGUGAGUCUGGAGAUCUCUGAAGCUGAAGUGACUGACUCUGCGCUGUAUUACUGUGCACUGCUCCCUGGUAACUGA